GCGGGUAUAGUUCAGUGGUAGAAUAUCUCCUUGCCAAGGAGGAUGUCGCGCGUUCGAAUCGCGUUACCCGCU
rnacentral:tRNA from 4 species